AGCAGCACGCCGCGGUAAUACGUAGGGUGCAAGCGUUAAUCGGAAUUACUGGGCGUAAAGCGUGCGCAGGCGGUUAUAUAAGACAGAUGUGAAAUCCCCGGGCUCAACCUGGGAACUGCAUUUGUGACUGUAUAGCUAGAGUACGGCAGAGGGGGAUGGAAUUCCGCGUGUAGCAGUGAAAUGCGUAGAUAUGCGGAGGAACACCGAUGGCGAAGGCAAUCCCCUGGGCCUGUACUGACGCUCAUGCACGAAAGCGUGGGGAGCAAACAGGAUUAGAUACCCCCGUAGUCCCUGUCUCUUAUA
rnacentral:rRNA from 1 species